UCCUUUUCUCUCCAACUCUCACCAACAGUCUUUGCUGUGCCAAUUCUAAUAAAACCUUCUCUCUCCCUUGGCAUGUCUCCAACGUUUUUCUUUGCCCCAGGAUUGAGUCAAACAAGGUGACUAUCACAAGAGUCCAAGAAUACUUUAUAAAAAUCUGACUUUGCACAGGGAAAAUCUUCAGACCUGGAGAAUCGAUUCCUUCUUCAUCUAUCAUCUGCGACUUUGACCCUUUUUUGAGCAGAUUUUUUGAAUCUCAAAUCCUAAUUUCAAAUUCCCGCUCAAUGGAACCCUACCUAUUUUUCUCCCUAUAAAUAUGAGCUUUUCUACUCAUUUUCGGGAGAAGUUUUUUGGAGCCGCCCAACCACCCUUUUACCUGAAGUUCUGAUCGGCUCUCUUGCCUUCAAGCUCUUGUUUUCCUCUCUUUCCUUACUUCUUAAAAAUAAAUAAAUCCAGUUGCUUGUUGCCAAUGUUUUAUAUCUAAAAAGAAAUACUCAAGUUCGAGGCCGGAGUUCAUCCGAUCUAAGACCCCGCACCCCAGUUUGCUGCACCCAAAAACGGCCAGUAUAUUUCUUUUUAGUCUCCUUUGUUUAAUUCAUAGCAAGGAUGUAAAAUCUGAAUGUAGUUUGGUUUUUGCACUAUUAACAGAUACUGUUGAGGACAACAUAGUUGUUGACCGCUGAGUUGCUCCUCCAGUUUGUCAUCAAUUGAGGUGAUCCAUCCACCAGUUUGUGGAGGUGUUGUUAGGUCUUAUCUUUAUCUUGCAAUCAUGUUAUUUCUAUUUCGAGUUAUGUCUUGUAUCUUUGUAUUACUGGUCUUUAGCAAGAUUGCUCCAUGACUUAGUAGAGUUGGGAAUUUGGAAUUUACAAUUAUAUUUAAUAAUUUAUUAAUUCGCUUUUACAAUAUGAGAA